CAGCAGUUGGGAUAGUCUGCUUAUUCAGAUGGCGACCGGCGCGACGGGUGAACGUAACGCGUAUACCCAACCUUCCUCGCCGAGUAAGGGAACACGCCCGGACGAAAGUCGGAUUAAUGCCCUAUGUUCUUCAAUGCGGACAUCUAAGUUGAAGGAAAGAUUCAUCGCUGGCAGAUGGGGAUGCGUCCGAUUAGCUUGCCGGCGGGGUAACGGCCCACCGGGGCGACGAUCGGUAGGGGUUCUGAGAGGAAGGUCCCCCACACUGGUACUGAGACACGGACCAGACUCCUACGGGAGGCAGCAGUGAGGAAUAUUGGUCAAUGGGCGUAAGCCUGAACCAGCCAAGUAGCGUGCAGGAAUGACGGCCCUACGGGUUGUAAACUGCUUUUAUGCGGGGAUAAAGUGCGGCACGUGUGCCGCUUUGCAGGUACCGCAUGAAUAAGGACCGGCUAAUUCCGUGCCAGCCGCUGC
rnacentral:rRNA from 1 species